rnacentral:rRNA from 1 species
UACGGAGGGAGCUAGCGUUGUUCGGAAUUACUGGGCGUAAAGCGCACGUAGGCGGCUUUGUAAGUUAGAGGUGAAGGCCUGGGGCUCAACCCCAGAAUUGCCUUUAAGACUGCAUCGCUUGAAUCCAGGAGAGGUGAGUGGAAUUCCGAGUGUAGAGGUGAAAUUCGUAGAUAUUCGGAAGAACACCAGUGGCGAAGGCGGCUCACUGGACUGGUAUUGACGCUGAGGUGCGAAAGCGUGGGGAGCGAACAGG